rnacentral:rRNA from 1 species
GACGAACGCUGGCGGCGUGCUUAACACAUGCAAGUCGAACGGCAGCGCCCUGCUUUUGUGGGGUGCUCGAGUGGCGAACGGGUGCGUAACACGUGAGUAACCUGCCCUUGACUUUGGGGUAACUUAAGGAAACUGGGGCUAAUACCGGACAGGAGCCCCCGCUCCGUGGAGGGGGUGGGAAAGUCUGGGCGGUUGCGGAUGGACUCGCGGCUUAUCAGCUUGCUGGUCGGGGAGUGGUUUACCAAGUCUUUGGCCGGUCGCCGGCCUGGGAGGGUGGCCGGCGACAAUGCGCCUACGAGAGGGCCCAGUCGCCUACAGUAGGCAGCGGUGGGGAAUAUUACACAAUGAGCGGGAGCCGGUUGCGGCGACGCCGCGUGCGUAAAGCCGGCCUGCGGGUUAUGAACCGCUGUCGGCUGAGACGAAGCGUGUGUGACGGUAAUGAGUAAAGAAGCACCGGCUAACUACGUG